UAGUGGCGAACGGGUGAGUAACACGUGGGCAAUCUGCCCUGCACUCUGGGACAAGCCCUGGAAACGGGGUCUAAUACCGGAUAUGACCGUCUUGGGCAUCCUUGAUGGUGUAAAGCUCCGGCGGUGCAGGAUGAGCCCGCGGCCUAUCAGCUUGUUGGUGAGGUAACGGCUCACCAAGGCGACGACGGGUAGCCGGCCUGAGAGGGCGACCGGCCACACUGGGACUGAGACACGGCCCAGACUCCUACGGGAGGCAGCAGUGGGGAAUAUUGCACAAUGGGCGAAAGCCUGAUGCAGCGACGCCGCGUGAGGGAUGACGGCCUUCGGGUUGUAAACCUCUUUCAGCAGGGAAGAAGCGCAAGUGACGGUACCUGCAGAAGAAGCGCCGGCUAACUACGUGCCAGCAGCCGCGGUAAUACGUAGGGCGCAAGCGUUGUCCGGAAUUAUUGGGCGUAAAGAGCUCGUAGGCGGCUUGUCGCGUCGGUUGUGAAAGCCCGGGGCUUAACCCCGGGUCUGCAGUCGAUACGGGCAGGCUAGAGUUCGGUAGGGGAGAUCGGAAUUCCU
rnacentral:rRNA from 1 species